CGUGUGGUCACGCUGCAGACAGGUGGAAAUCUGAGUCUGACCCAGAAUCAGCUGAACCGGACUUUGAUGAACCAGACUUGGCUGCAGCACUCCUUCUUCUCAGGAUGGUUCGGCUUCAGCGAGGUGGCGGGUA